GAUGGCGGCGGCAGUGGCGGA
rnacentral:misc_RNA from 1 species